GACGAACGCUGGCGGCGUGCUUAACACAUGCAAGUCGAACGGAAAGGCCCUGCUUUUGUGGGGUGCUCGAGUGGCGAACGGGUGAGUAACACGUGAGUAACCUGCCCUUGACUUUGGGAUAACUUCAGGAAACUGGGGCUAAUACCGGAUAGGAGCUCCUGCUGCAUGGUGGGGGUUGGAAAGUUUCGGCGGUUGGGGAUGGACUCGCGGCUUAUCAGCUUGUUGGUGGGGUAGUGGCUUACCAAGGCUUUGACGGGUAGCCGGCCUGAGAGGGUGACCGGGCACAUUGGGACUGAGAUACGGACCAGACUCCUACGGGAGGCAGCAGUGGGGAAUAUUGCACAAUGGGCGGAAGCCUGAGGCAGCAACGCCGCGUGCGGGAUGACGGCCUUCGGGUUGUAAACCGCUUUCGCCUGUGACGAAGCGUGAGUGACGGUAAUGGGUAAAGAAGCACCGGCUAACUACGUG
rnacentral:rRNA from 1 species